GCUUAUCACCAUUCCCGAUUGAAUAUACCCGAUCUCGUCUGAUCUCGGAAAGUCAGCAAUCUCCGGGCUUGGUUAGAACUUUGGAGGGGUGACCCCUUGGGAAUACCAGGGGGGAUAAGC
rnacentral:rRNA from 1 species